GAAUCAAAGCCAAAACAUGUGAAAGAGUUUGACAUUCUUCUUGGUCAACAUAAUGAUGAAAUUGAAGAACUGUCAGGCAAUAUAAAGGAAGAAUCCAAAUCUCAAAACAGCAAAGACAGAGUGAUUUGUGAGUUAAGAGCAGAGGUAAGACACUGGGUAAAGAGUACCAUAUAUAUUAAAACAUAACUGUCUGUUGUUAAAUGCCAUACUAUUUUAAGUAGGGUAACGGACGUGCCUUUGGUUACUUUAUGAAAGUGAAUGCUGCUGCUAAUGUAAUCAGCUUAUAUGUGAUUUAAAAGGCUGUGGAAUGACAUUGGCCCAUAA
rnacentral:sRNA from 1 species